AUGAACGCUGGCGGCGUGCCUAAUACAUGCAAGUCGAGCGAACGGACGAGAAGCUUGCUUCUCUGAUGUUAGCGGCGGACGGGGGAGUAACACGUGGAUAACCUACCUAUAAGACUGGGAUAACUUCGGGAAACCGGAGCUAAUACCGGAUAAUAUUUUGAACCGCAUGGUUCAAAAGUGAAAGACGGUCUUGCUGUCACUUAUAGAUGGAUCCGCGCUGCAUUAGCUAGUUGGUAAGGUAACGGCUUACCAAGGCAACGAUGCAUAGCCGACCUGAGAGGGUGAUCGGCCACACUGGAACUGAGACACGGUCCAGACUCCUACGGGAGGCAGCAGUAGGGAAUCUUCCGCAAUGGGCGAAAGCCUGACGGAGCAACGCCGCGUGAGUGAUGAAGGUCUUCGGAUCGUAAAACUCUGUUAUUAGGGAAGAACAUAUGUGUAAGUAACUGUGCACAUCUUGACGGUACCUAAUCAGAAAGCCACGGCUAACUACGUG
rnacentral:rRNA from 1 species